rnacentral:rRNA from 1 species
GACGAACGCGGCGGCGUGCUUAACACAUGCAAGUCGAACGGUGAAGGGACCAGCUUGCUGGUUCUGGAUGAGUGGCGAACGGGUGAGUAACACGUGAGUAACCUGCCCCCUUCUUCUGGAUAACCGCAUGAAAGUGUGGCUAAUACGGGAUAUUCUGGGUCUGUCGCAUGGCGGGCCCGGGAAAGAUAUUGUUUCGGUGGGGGAUGGGCUCGCGGCCUAUCAGCUUGUUGGUGGGGUGAUGGCCUACCAAGGCGGUGACGGGUAGCCGGCCUGAGAGGGUGGACGGUCACACUGGGACUGAGACACGGCCCAGACUCCUACGGGAGGCAGCAGUGGGGAAUAUUGCACAAUGGGCGCAAGCCUGAUGCAGCGACGCCGCGUGAGGGAUGGAGGCCUUCGGGUUGUAAACCUCUUUCGCCAGUGAAGCAGGCCUGCUCCUUGUGGGUGGGUUGACG